rnacentral:lncRNA from 1 species
AGUGAUUCUUCGUUAUGGCCGCCCGUGUGCCUUCGACUCAAUCGGGAGGACACCGAAAUCCAGAUUUCGGGGUUGCAGGGCGCGGGCCCCGGCUUGGUUAGGGCAGGGGCAGCCAUUUUGAGACCAGAAGAGGGCGGAAGGGACCAUAUUGAGAACGCCGGUUGCCUGGGGGCCGCCAUUUUAAGAGAAGCCCUCUCUGAAGACCUCAACCAACCCUGAUGAGGAGGGCACAUCACCCCUGUCUGCUCCAGUGAGCCCCAACAGGAGAAAAACAGGCCAUUACUUACCUGAAGCCACAAGCGGCAGUAGCAGCCCUGGGUGUAGGGGACCCUCCAUUUUCCAUAUCCAGGAAAAUGUGAUGCGCCACAGGUAUCAGCGUCUGGAUCGCCACUUCACGUUUUAGCCACAAGUGACUCAGUGGAAGAUCCAGAGUCAACAGAGGCUCGUCAGGAAGAUGUCUACAGAAAAGGUAGACCAAAAGGAGGAAGCUGGGGAAAAAGAGGUGUGCGGAGACCAGAUCAAAGGACCGGACAAAGAGG